CUAAAAACCAUUGUUAUGGUUUUUAUUAUAAUUUUUACUCAUUUUCUAUGUAUAUUUUUCAGAUUCUUCCAGGAGCCCAAAAAGACAUACGAAAUGCUUUACUACGUCCGUGCCUUAGCUGAGGAAGGAAAUGGAGAUAUUUGUAAAAUCUUGAAACAAAACAAUUCCGUUUGGAGUUGCAUAUCAUCAUUCGGGCUUGACUAUUGCCGAAAGAAAAACUGCUCGAAGAAGCGUUUUGUUCAAACACCAUUUGCUGUAUUUGCUGUACUUCAACUCUUGCAGCAGGAGUCAAUUUACCGGCCAAACGGGUCAUCAUUAGAUCUCCGUAUGUCGGUAAUAAAUUUAUCACGCUCAGCCAGUAUAAGCAGAUGAUUGGUCGAGCUGGGAGAGCUGGGAUUUAAUGAAGACGGUGAAAGUUUUUUGCUCUGUCAGAAGAAUGAUGUUCUGAAGGUAGGCAGCUGUUUGUUGGUUGAAAUUGUGUCCCCAAAAACUUGAUUUUUUCCACCUAAAUCAAUGAAAGCAGGACAAGAAAAACAACUCUAAACUUUGCUUUGCAAAAGACGAUUCCUCAAAUCUUGUUUGAAAGGAGGUGAAAGUCAAAGAAAUGAGUAAAAAUCUGAAUCUGUGUAUGGAAAAAAAAUUGUUAUUGAAAUUCUAUUAUGAAUUUUACUUUUAUAAUUUUUAUAUUAUAUAUAAGUGAACGUCGGCAAGAUUAGAGGCCUUAUUUUAUAGUGGAAAUUUUUCAGGCAAGCAUGAUAGGUAUCAAGGCUUCUUUUAUACUUUUUUUAAAACGUUAUGAAGUUAAGUUAAAAAAUCGGCAUUAGUUUCUUUACUGAAAACAUCCUGUUUACCCCUUGCUUCCUCCUUAAAAUGAUAGGUCAAAAUUCUAAACGGCUGCUUCUAUUUUGAACCUCAAACUUAAAAACAUAUUUGCACCAGUUCCACAUGACAUUUUUUGGCAAUUUUUGUAACAAAAUGUUCGUGAAACACUCCCGAAAGAAGUGACAACAAAAUCUGAUUUUUAGUGUUUCGGUACCCCUCCUGUGAAGGUCAAUACGUUUAUGUUUCUUUCACUUCUUUUACUGAUUUUUUUUCUCUUUUUAGAUCAUGACUCUGCUUAACUCUAAGAUCAAUUCCUGUGAUAGUCAACUGAAAGAGACCAAUGCCUUCCAUCUUUAAUCUUAAGUGCAGUCGGUCUUGGUCUGGUGAGUUCACCAGACGAUAUCAAAUUGUUUUUCAAUAACACGCUCUUUCACGCCCAAAAUGGCCUUGAUGCCGAUUUUGAUGGUUUAUUGGAAAAAUCAAUUAAGGACUUGCUGAUGUUGGUGCCCUCCAAACAAAAAAGCAUGGGGACAAGAGCGUUUACCAAUUGAGUGAUCUGGGGCGAGGUGCUGUGAAAGGUAACAUUGACUCCUGAGCUUUGAAUGAAUCCAUCCACUUUUUUGGUCCUACUUUAGUGUUUUUGUCCUAUGUAGCAAUUUUCAAAUUUUGUGAAUUUGUGUAUUUUGUUUUAAAAAAAAUUUCCAUUACAACAUCUGAUCUCAGAAUUUUUGAUUUGUAAAAAAAAAAAUUAAUUCGGCUGAUUCAGAAAUUUUCUUACUGAUAAAAUUUUACAGUUCAACAGAUAGCAAGUUUAAGAAUUUAUUUUGAGCAUAAUCUCAGUUUCUUUAGACAGGUAACUCAUAGAUAAUGUCAUCUUAAGAAAAUGUAUAUUAAUAAUCGGGUUCAAUAAGGCCCACACAGUUAAAUCUGAUCUUUGUAAUCUGUUCUUUUGUCCAUUUAUUUUUCUGUUCAUAGUUUAAUCUUUUCUCUCAAUUUUCUCCCUUGUAUCAGCUACAUUACAAUAGAUGAUGCCAAAGUUUUUAUAUGCUGAUUUGAAGAUUGCGUUGAAAUGUGUCUCUCUGAGCAACUAUCUGCACCGACUUUACUUAAUCACGCCCUAUUCCAUGGCCUGUCAAAUUCCUAUUAACAAGGACAUUUAUUUCAAUGUGGUAAGACUAUUUUUUUUUUAAUAUAUUUAUGUAUGUUGGGCUUAAAAUUGUUAGAUUGUAAGAGACAAAAUUGCGAAGGAAUCCAUUGAAUACUUUAACAAAUACAAGAUAAUGCGGUGACUUUUAAAAAUUUCAUUGCCUUUCUAAUUUUGUGUCAUGACUUUUCUAAGUAAAGAUGAAGACAGAAAAUCUCUCCUGAUAAAACUUUUAUCUUUUGUACAGGCUAAUAAAAAAGCUUCAAGAUGUUUAUACUUAUCAAAAUUGUCAUGAAUUUAUCAGAGAAGUAUGCUAAACAUUCAUGUUCAAUGAACACUUUCUUAAAUGAAAUUAGGCGUGAUUAGCUCGCUAUGCAAGCUGUCACGCCUAGCCGGAGAGUGCCCUUGGACCCCCGGUUCCUCGCUUCUUGAUGAACUUGCGACUCGCUCGCGAGCCGCCCCUCAUGGCAAUUAACUUUCAAAAUAAUAAUAAAGAAGACAUCUGGAGGAAGACAUCUUCGCCACUUUGGCCACGGCCGCCGUCUUGGAUUUUGGAACUUUGAAAAUCUGACCAAAAAUUCGAGUUUUCCGUCGGAAAGUACCCCCUGACACCAAUUUUCACAAAAAUACGUCGAAAGAUACCCCCAAAUACCUGAAAUUUUAUCUAUAAUGCUGUGAUGUCACGCGACACGAUUGAACCUAUUCAGCACGGUGCGCGUGAACAGCCUUGUAUCCCCAAUACAUUACUUUAGGGAGAAACUUUUCUCUUUUUUUUUUUGGCUUCAGAGGCCUUUUUUUUCUAUGUUGAUUUGUUAGGCAUGUUCUGGUGGUUCUCAGCUUUGUUCUUGCCAAGUUUGAAGGAAAUCUGAAACUGAAAAUUGAUUUUGACCAAUAAUU
rnacentral:lncRNA from 1 species